rnacentral:rRNA from 1 species
AUUGAACGCUGGCGGCAUGCUUUACACAUGCAAGUCGAACGGUAACAGGCCGCAAGGUGCUGACGAGUGGCGAACGGGUGAGUAAUGCAUCGGAACGUGCCCAGUCGUGGGGGAUAACUACUCGAAAGAGUAGCUAAUACCGCAUACGAUCUAUGGAUGAAAGCGGGGGACCGUAAGGCCUCGCGCGAUUGGAGCGGCCGAUGUCAGAUUAGGUAGUUGGUGGGGUAAAGGCUCACCAAGCCAACGAUCUGUAGCUGGUCUGAGAGGACGACCAGCCACACUGGAACUGAGACACGGCCCAGACUCCUACGGGAGGCAGCAGUGGGGAAUUUUGGACAAAGGGCGCAAGCCUGAUCCAGCAAUGCCGCGUGCAGGAAGAAGGCCUUCGGGUUGUAAACUGCUUUUGUACGGAACGAAACGGCUCUGGUUAAUACCCGGGGCUAAUGACGGUACCGUAAGAAUAAGCACCGGCUAACUACGUG